CAACUGGAGAGUUUGAUUCUGGCUCAGAUUGAACGCUGGCGGCGUGCUUAACACAUGCAAGUCGAACGUGAAAGUCCUUCGGGAUGAGUAAAGUGGCGCACGGGUGAGUAACGCGUGGAUAAUCUACCUUCAAGAUGGGGAUAACGACUGGAAACGGUCGCUAAUACCGAAUACGCUCCUGAUAUAUCGUUGGGAGGAAAGAUGGCCUAUGCUUGCAAGCUAUCGCUUGGAGAUGAGUCCGCGUCCCAUUAGCUAGUUGGUGGGGUAAAGGCCUACCAAGGCAACGAUGGGUAGCCGGUCUGAGAGGAUGGCCGGCCACACUGGAACUGGAACACGGUCCAGACUCCUGCGGGAGGCAGCAG
rnacentral:rRNA from 1 species